rnacentral:lncRNA from 1 species
GUUGCAGUUUCUUCAUGCAUUUUUGGAAGCUCUGAUUUUCUUCGGAGGCCUACAAGUAGACUGGUAACUCAGCUAUUUUUUCUUCUUCUGUUUUUUGCAUUAUCGAUACAAAAAGCAAAAGUUUAAGUCAAGGCUUUGUUUGAGAUUAAGAUGCUGAAAUGGAACCAAAAAGUCCUAUUAGUUAUAAAUCUUCCAAUUAUUAGAGUCAGAAAAGUAAUAUGCAUGUAGAAGAUAUUGAGUCAGAUUAUCUAUGUUACAAGAAACUAAUAAGAGAGAGGAGAAUCUUGCAGAAUGCAGAUUUUAAUCUCUCAAACAAAUGUUCAUUUCAAAAAAUUUCCAUUUCAAUAGAUUUAGUUUUCAUAAAAUAUAUUUGUUUGCAAGUUUUACCAUUAAGUUUUGAUUACAUAUAAACGGAAGCACGGUGCACAAAGCUCCCACAUACGCAGGGUCCGGGAAGGGGUCCCACCAUUUGGUGUAUUGUUCGCAGCCUUACCCUGAUUUUUUACACAAGAGGCUGUUUCUAGGGCUUGAACCCGUGACAUUUUAGUCACAUGACAACAACUUUACAAUAUAAUCACAUGCUAUGCUGUAGUGGAUCUUCCUGUCAAAAAAAUGUUGUAGUGGAACUUAAAUAUCCACUUGGAUUAUGUGAUUAUAAUACUUAAUUGGAAGAUUAAUCAUUGAUGUAUCACAUCUUCAAUUUAUAAAUAAAGCAUCUUUUAAUUAUAUAUAAAAUUUAAUGUAUGCCUCUUUGCUACAGAUCAGUCAAUAUUCAAAGGACAAUGUUUGUUUUGUUAUGUUCUUGGAUGAUCAAACACUGUCCAAACUUUCAUCAGAAGGAAACCCUCCUGAUGAAAGAGGUUACAUUGGCCUGUGGAAAGUAGUUGUUGUAGAAAAUUUGCCGUAUGAGGACAUGCGAAGAACUGGCAAGGUGCCAAAAUUUUUAUCACACCGCCUCUUCCCAAAUUCUAGGUAGGUCUCACAAUUUGUUCUUUGUUCUAGCAUCCAAAUUUCUUCAAUUCUGUUCUCAACUUUAAUAUUGUUUGAAAAUACUUGUUUGGCAGGUAUUCAAUUUGGCUUGACAGCAAGAUGCGACUCAAUUCUGACCCUAUGUUAAUUAUUGAAUAUUUUUUGUGGCGAAGGAAGGCAGAAUAUGCCAUUUCAAAUCAUUAUGAUCGUCACAGUGUCUGGGAGGAGGUUCUUCAGAAUAAGCGGUUAAAUAAGUACAACCACACAGCAAUUGACGAACAGUUUAAAUUUUACGAGUCCGAUGGCCUCCCCAAGUUUGAACCAUCAAACCACAAUCCUCUUCCGAGCUGUGUGUAUCCUUCACAUCUUUGUUCAUUAUGGAUUUUUGUUGGCUCUACUUGUGCAUAAUACGAUUCCGAUUCCAACUAUUGAGUCUUUCAUGUUGCAGAUGUUCCUGAGGGUUCCUUUAUAGUCAGGGCACACACACCAAUGUCAAAUUUAUUUUCAUGUCUUUGGUUCAAUGAAGUUGAUCGAUUUACAUCCCGUGAUCAACUAAGCUUUGCUUAUACUUAUUUGAAACUCAGGAGAAUGAAUCCCGAUAGACCAUUACAGCUAUAUAUGUUCAAGGUGAAUUUUUACACCAUCUCUUUUCCUCGCUCUGUGCGCGCACUGUGUGUGUUAAUAUCAUGCAUAUAUGUUGAACAAUACUAUUCCUCAUGUUUUAUGUGUUCUCCAUCAAAAGGCGUAUUAGUCACUCUAAUAAACUACCUUAGCGCUGAAUGAAUAUAUUGGUAUGUAACGAAAAAUGUCUGUCUUCAAUAUAUGCAGGAUUGUGAACGUAGAGCAUUGGUGAAGCUAUUCCGGCACAGGGCAGUUCCAUCUCCGCCAGGGACUGCUUAAACAGUUCUAAGCUCUUGACUUGACAUAACAUGAUAUGUGGAGGGAUGCACGGUGAAGGGAGAGGUAAUCCAUAUUUGACAUCACUUCCAGCUUGACUAGCUGGACCAAAGAGAGGCAAACACAACUGUAGCAAAGGCGGUUUCCGGAUCUUGUAUCUGUGGUUGAAAUGUAAUUGCCUUUGCAAUAUUGUCACGAAGAAUUUAACUGUUAUUGGGUUCAAUGGAAGACCUGGUGGGCGAAGGGCAAGUUGAUCGAUGUUUUAGUUUGUUCAGCUUCCUCGUUUUUGAGUUAAGUAUGAUUUUGAUAACAUGUGAGGUUAGUUUAUCUUUCCUAUUCAUGUAAGAUGUAACAGGUCCUCCAUUCUCUCAGUCAAAAGUAGAGGUUAUUGGUUAGUGGCUUAGUGCUGUAAGUUUUUGGUCAAUGAGGAAUUUUCCUUUUGUAACUUGUCUCCGUAUCAAAGAAAUUAACUACUUUGAUUCAUAGCCAUUGAAUUGGAAAAUAUUAAUAACAUUUUUUUUAUAAUUAUUAUUGUUUGAGUUUCCAGUCCUUCAAAAUAGUGACCAUAAGUGGCAAAGAACUUGGUUCAACAUUAGAAUUCAUUUCAACAAAACAUCGUCAUAUUAUAUAGACAUAGAUAUUUGAACAUACACCAACCAGCACACAAAUAAAUAUCACGUAUUACAUAUACAUAACUACCACAUAUAUUUAGAUUUCACACAUGGCUCUUGAUGGAGGAGCUAUAACCACUCUGAACAUCAUCAUACCUAGACCACAGCAUAACACCACCAUAUUUGGAAGAACCUUUAAUAACUGGAAGUACAGUAGAGGUAAGAUCAUCUGCGGAAAUAAAACCGCUUCCUGCAGCCGUUGGAGAAGCAGGUAACCCUAAGAAUAUCUUGUUUGCAGGGAUACCUGAUGUCCACUGCUUCCACGCAUCUUCGAAGUUCAUAAAUGCAUCAGGGUUGUAUUGACAAGGAGGGUUGUUGUAGAAUUGUACCCAAACAUAAUCAAAAAGUCCUGUUGUAAGUGCAUUUCCUAUCCAAGCAUCAGGAAAUGGACAUUGAGGAGCUGCAGUUAUGUAAACUUUCUUGUUGAACCCUUUAAGGUACCUAGCAAGAUCACCCCAAUGUUGGCUUGAUCCUCCUUCGAUAUCAAAGUCAAUGCCAUCAAGAACAGCAGGACCAAGAGGGCGAGAUGAAGAUUUUCCACCCAAGAAGUUAUUCCAAAGGUAAGUUGCUACACUGUUUGCAUCUUUUGUGGAUGCAAUUGAGUAGCUUCCAGCACCUCCUCCUAUCGACAACAAUACUUUGAUUCCUUUGGCUUGACAUGACUUGAUGUCUGAGCUUAAGCCAGUGCAUCCAUUACUGUAUGGAUCACAAUGACCAGCUAGAUUAAUCAUCGGAGUUUGGCCAUCUCCGAAGGUCGGUAAGAAGGCUAUGAUCACAUAUUCAUAGUUUCCUGUGGCACAAGCCUCAGCUAACGUGCCCUCGUUUCCGUUCUGGCCCCAGUAGAUUGCAAUUUUUCCUGCAUUAGAACCAUUCGCUAGUGCUAACACGAGUAAAGAGAAAAAUGUGAACGAGAUAGUCGAUUUCAAUUCCAUUUUCAUGUGUGUUGUUGUUGCCUAUAUCUAUUGAAUGUUCACAAGAUAUAUGUGUUGAUCAUUUUAUGUGGCAAAUCAUAGUUGUGGGGGUGGCCUUUAUAAGGGUGACAUUACUAAGUAUGUGGUCCUUUUGAUCAUAAGAGCGUUGCUUGGCAGUUACAUUGGCAAGGGUUCCAUGGUUUAAACGCAGUCAUUGAUUCUGACCCAAUUGACAUCCCUCUUGUCUGUUUCUUUUUCUUGCUACUCUUUUUCUUGGCAUUAUGCUUUUGUAAAUUUUCAGUUACAGAAAACAGAAAAGUAGUCACAGCUAUUCAAUUAUUUUAUUGUUUAAAAGUUCAUAUCAGAGUGUAGGCAAUUUAUUUUAUCAAAGUUUAUGCAAUACUCUCUGUCCUUAAAUAUAAGAUCUUUUUUGUUUUUUUUUUCUCACUACAUCUUUUUUACUAUAAAACCAUUUUUAAAUUUUCAAAUGUGUUAAUUUUUUUUUACCAGUAUACCUAUAAUUAUGUCAACAAAAACUGUUAACAGAUUUAAUAUUGUUAUCAAUUUUUUUAAUUCCCGUGGUUUACGUCAACAAACUCUUAUAUUAAGGGAUAAAGUGUUUUUUUUUUGUUACAAGGCAAAAGACAACGAAAUAAAAAAAAUCAGAAGGAACUACUCUCUAGAGUAGAGGGUUUCAACUGUGUUCAUCCUAAGAACAUGCAAGAGUUCAUCCGGAUGAGAGGCAUGAUAGAGCAGCUCAGUAUCCGAAUUAGCUCCAAGUUUAGCAAAGAAGUUUGCACAGUGAUUUCCCUCUCUAAGAGUAUGACAAACAAUGACAUUACUUUACCCAAUUAAAUCCUUAACAUCUUGAAUCAAGAAAGCAUAAAUAUGGUAUCUCAUUGGUGGCCCUUUGAGGAGGUUGAUACAACGCAAGGAUUGGUAUAGCAAACAAGCUCAAUUAUAUUCAAGCUUUUUGCAAAAUAAGCCCAUGGUAGAUAGCACAAAGCUCAGGAUGUCAAAAGAAACAUCGAUGCAGCCAGAAAAACCUGAUAAGUAGUAUCCGACACUAUUUCGGAUAGUUCUACCAAAACCAGCUCGCACGGGUGUACCCAUGCAACUACCAUCGACAUUAAGAAUGACACAAGAAUAAUUAUCAUUAUUCCAUCUAAUGAAUCUGUCAACCUGAUCAAUUUGAGAAUUAUUUUUGAAACAAAGAUUGAAAGAAUCUACCAUAAUGUGAAUGUUGUAGGAGAGAUGACUGACAGUCUAAGUCUCGUUGUGGAGACACAUGAGAUUUCGAUGACGCCAAACCCACCGAACAAUGACCGCAAAAAUGAAAGAUAGAUGACCUAAGGAACCCUCUUUAACCAGUGGCUCACCUCCAUGAUCAAAAUAAAUUAAGACUAAACAUCCUCGUUUAUAUUUUUACUUUUGGCAUGUCUAAUGCUCCUUUUAGAUUCAAAUACCACCGAAAACUUAUUUUUUAUUUUUUUUACAAUAACAUCUUUGUGAGAAUAAAUAUUAAAUCUUAGAUCACAAGGAGAGUUUGAAAGAGAGCGAGAUCUCCACAUUUAACCAAGAAUAAUCAUACAUAUGGGUUUGUACGCUACAUACAUUCAUAAUUUUAAGGCAUUAAGCAUUACUCACUUAUAUGUUUUUGACAAGUUCAUUUUAUGUAAUGUGAGAUUCUUUUAUUUACAGUUGACACUCAAAUAUUAAUUAAAAGGAUCGCUUAGAGUUUAAAAGGACUUGAUUUACAUUUAGACAUCAUUGAUCAUUUAGACCUGGUCAUUGAUCAUUGAUUCAUCCUUAUUUUAUUAUACUAUCAUGUAUACAAAGCCAUUUACAAAUUAUCCGAUCAUAAAACCUCAUUUCAAUAAAGCUCGUCUAUUUUCACAAAAUUGCCGAUUUUCAAAUAUUUCACCAAAACAAGGUUUAAAGCAUCAACGACACUCUCAUGACAUCCCUACAUAUCAUCUAACAUCUAGGAAAAUUAUUCAUGACAUUUUCGUUUCACAAAGUUUCUUCGUUUCUCAAAAUUUUCCAAGUUCGUCUCAUUUUUAACAUGUUUUGAAAUCAAUUAUUUUCCUCAAGAAUAAGCCAUGUUAAUCCACUAAAAUAAGCCUAAUUAAACUCUAUUCAAGUAGGCUUAGGUUUUAGGAACUCAUAGGGAUACAUACGGAACCCCAAAAGUACGAAAAAACACUGUUUCCAGACCACCUAGAGAGUGCACGAUCGUGCACUUUUGCACAGGCAAAAGCGGAAGGUCCAGGAACUUGUGCACGGGUCGUGCACUUCCUGGUGCAAACCGUGUACUCUGCUCUAAUAGCAAAGUUGCAUGUUUUCGUGUUUUCGCGCGCAGGAAAAUGUCUGAUUUUUGAUCCAUUUUCGAUCCUGUUUUCAUCGAUUUCGUUCCAAACACUUAAAUAGUUGAUUCUCACCUCAAAAUAUAGUUUUCUAACCCAAAACAAAUUUAUUCAAAUCAACCAAAAUGACUUAUUUUCAAAAGUUCUUAAAAACGGCUUUUAGCUCAAAAACUCGAUUUUCUCCAAACGAUUUCUCACCAAAACACAUUGAUUGAUAACAUAAAUUCUCCUCAAUUCAAUUCAUCAAAACAACCCCUUUAAUCCACUCAAAUUCAUCAAAAUCAACCUUCUCCAAUUUUGAUCCAUUUUUACAAAAAUCACCAAAACACAACAACUUAACCACAACCACACAUUUAUCAUCACCCAGUUCAUGACUUAUCAUCACCAACAUAUACCCAACAACAUUCAUAGCAUAAAAUUCAUGAAUUCAUCAUCAAACAACAAAAACAUCAUCAUUUUCAUCAUUUUAAGCCAAAUUCUCAAAGUAAUCACUUCAACAGAUAUCAACAAUGAAAAUUAAGCAUCAACGACAAUUUUACCACAAAUUCACAUACCCAAAUUCAUCACUUAAUUAUGAGCAUGAAAAUUAACAACCAAAAUCAUUAAAAUCAUAAUUUAUCCAAAACACAUACAAUCCAUAAGUGAAAAAGUAGAUUAUAGCUUAUUAAGUAGAAUCUACCUAUCCCCCUUACAUUGUUUCCUCCAAAGCUAAGCUAAUCUUCAAGAAUCUUCAUUCCUCUUGUGAUUCCAAGCUCUCCUCUUCACUUCUCUCCAAAUGGGUUCUUCUCUUCUGUUAUAUUCUUCUCUUUCUCUCUCAAAUCUCUCUAGUCUCUCUAUUGUGAAAGUGUGAAAUGAUUUCUAACCAUAGUUUUGCACUAGUGUUAUGUUUAUAUACUCCGACCUAUUGGGCUAGGUAACAUCAAUUCAUAAUGGGUCUCAAAACUCU